rnacentral:ncRNA from 1 species
CCUUUUUCAUUUAAGCACAUAAAUAAGCGGAGGAAAAGAAACCAACAGGGAUUCCCUUAGUAGUGGCGAGUGAACCAGGAUGAACACAGUGCCAAAUUCUGCACCCUUUGAGUGUUGGAAAAUAUGGCGUAUAGGAGUGAGAGUUCUAGAGGUUGACUCUGCAACAAGUCCCCCUUACCAGGGCUGUUACUUAGAGCGUGUGCAAGGCCCACAGAUGCGAUCUCCUGAGAGUUGGGUGGUAAACUCCACCUAAGGCUAAAUAUUGCCGUGAGACCAAUAGCAAGCAAGUACCAUGAGG